rnacentral:rRNA from 1 species
GAUGAACGCUGGCGGCGUGCCUAAUACAUGCAAGUCGAGCGAAUGGAUUAAGAGCUUGAUCUUAUGAAGUUAGCGGCGGACGGGUGAGUAACACGUGGGUAACCUGCCCAUAAGACUGGGAUAACUCCGGGAAACCGGGGCUAAUACCGGAUAAUAUUUUGAACUGCAUGGUUCAAAAUUGAAAGGCGGCUUCGGCUGUCACUUAUGGAUGGACCCGCGUCGCAUUAGCUAGUUGGUGAGGUAACGGCUCACCAAGGCAACGAUGCGUAGCCGACCUGAGAGGGGAAUCGGCCACACUGGGACUGAGACACGGCCCAGACUCCUACGGGAGGCAGCAGUAGGGAAUCUUCCGCAAUGGACGAAAGUCUGACGGAGCAACGCCGCGUGAGUGAUGAAGGCUUUCGGGUCGUAAAACUCUGUUGUUAGGGAAGAACAAGUGCUAGUUGAAUAAGCUGGCACCUUGACGGUACCUAACCAGAAAGCCACGGCUAACUACGUGCCAGCCGCCGCAGUAA